GUUGAACGCUGGCGGUAGGCCUAACACAUGCAAGUCGAACGGCAGCACAGUAAGAGCUUGCUCUUACGGGUGGCGAGUGGCGGACGGGUGAGGAAUACAUCGGAAUCUACUUUUUCGUGGGGGAUAACAUAGGGAAACUUACGCUAAUACCGCAUACGACCUACGGGUGAAAGCAGGGGAUCUUCGGACCUUGCGCGAUUGAAUGAGCCGAUGUCGGAUUAGCGAGUUGGCGGGGUAAAGGCCCACCAAGGCGACGAUCCGUAGCUGGUCUGAGAGGAUGAUCAGCCACACUGGAACUGAGACACGGUCCAGACUCCUACGGGAGGCAGCAGUGGGGAAUAUUGGACAAUGGGCGCAAGCCUGAUCCAGCCAUACCGCGUGGGUGAAGAAGGCCUUCGGGUUGUAAAGCCCUUUUGUUGGGAAAGAAAAGCAGCAGGUUAAUACCCCGCUGUUCUGACGGUACCCAAAGAAUAAGCACCGGCUAACUUCGUG
rnacentral:rRNA from 1 species